UGGUGAUGUCACACUACAAGGACGUGAGCUGGUUAGACGUCGCGAGACAGUUAGUUUACCCUAUGCAUCGCGUCCGAGAGUAGUCGGGGCAGUACGAGAGGAAGUGCCGAUCAGAACCGCUGGUGAUACUUUCGUCUGUUAAGGCGCGAAGUGUAGCUACGUUCUUCUUAUAAUAGCUGAAAGCCUCUAAGCUAGAAUGAGUACUUAAGGACGCAAAGAUAUGAAGACUACAUAUGUAAGGAUGAGGGUUGUACGAUAUAAGCUUCUGCGAGUAUUUCAGACCACUUAUUUCCUUUUUUAGAACAUGCUUGCUC
rnacentral:ncRNA from 1 species